ACCUAAUGUCUUUAAGCUCGACUGUCGGGAUUGAUACCUUGUGGCGUCUGACCUAAGUCUUGGUUAUUGGGAAGGUUUUAAGGCAGUUCAGUGAAACUAUCCGAGGAGGAAUUGUUUCUUUGACAAACACUACAGGGAUGAUAUCCUACGAGGCUUCCUACACUGACCUCUAACCCUUUUUAUUGACAUGGUUUUGUUUCAAGACAUUGGAAGUGUAAACCUUUGAAAAUCAGACUUGACCAUAUGCAUUUGAACAUAACAUGCACAAUGAGUUUGAGGUUGGUCUCUAAUAUGGACAAUGGCGGUGUAGAAACCAGACUCACCCUUCACAGGUCCAUGGCCACGCCCCGUCUGUGCCAACAACUCUUCACCAUUAACCGUAAGGAGCUUCAGUAACCAAUCAGAAAUGUCUCCUUUGCCUGACAACUGAUCCUCCUGGUGCCUUGAGAAGUAGCACGUUGGGAUUUUAGGUUGUCACAGAGUAAAGAGUUCUCCACUUCGCCCAGCAUGCAUUAUCCUGCAUCAACACUGGACUUGUUUUCCAUGCCAAUGGAACUGAAGUGGCUGUCAUCCAGGUUCCAUUUGAAGACUCCAUUGUUCCAAGCAAUCCUUCAAAAGGCAUCUGCACAGAGGGCAUCAGCUUCCAGCGGGGGAGCCAACCGUUCAACUACAUGUGGGAGGUUGGUGUCGUUCCUGACCUGGCUAUGCAUCGUAGGUACAUUAUGCUCUAUGAAAACCAGUGACCAUGGAUGUUUCUCUCCACCACCGGAUACAUCUGAAGUGAGGUGGUCACAUCACUAUUUAAUGGAAACUAUUGUAGCUGUGGUUUUAUGCUAGUGUUCCAUCAUGAAGGUACAACUUUACAUCACAGGAUAUAACAUUGAGGUAGUUUGGUACAUUUGAAAUCGUAUCAAGGGAUGCCAAGAUGCUGGAAGUUCAGCAUGUCUCCACCAAACGCUGCCUCAUCACAACUACUGAGCUGAUCUGCGAGACUAGUGUUCCACAGAAGGGGUGAAGACUGACAACAAACAGGACUCUGGCCAUCAUUGGUGCAGAACCUCCCUCCUGGACUCCACCUGCAGGCCCCAAGAGACAGAUGGAUCUCCAGUGUGAUGACUGGGAUCGUGUUCUACAAGCAAUACUCACCCGAAGACAGGCCUGUCAUCACCAGACAUCUUAUAGUUUGGCUUUGCCAGUGGCUAGACUCCCGUUGUGAUGACACUGACUAAAGUAUCCUGUUACAACAAUCUGCUAAAUGAAUUUGGGUCCCCAUGGCCACACCCAGCAAUUUAAACUAGC